rnacentral:rRNA from 1 species
GGUCAUUUAGAGGAAGUAAAAGUCGUAACAAGGUUUCCGUAGGUGAACCUGCGGAAGGAUCAUUACCGAGUUAGGGUCUUCUGGGCCCGACCUCCUACCCUCUGUCUACUUUACCAUUUGUUGCUUCGGUGGAUCCGUCCUCUAGGGGACCGCCGGAGGGUUCACCCCCUCUGGCCCGCGUCCGUCGGUAGCCCACCAAAACUCUUGUUCAAAACGUGUCGUCUAAGCAAAAAUCAAAUAAGUAAAAACUUUCAACAACGGAUCUCUUGGUUCUGGCAUCGAUGAAGAACGCAGCGAAAUGCGAUAAGUAAUGCGAAUUGCAGAAUCCGUGAGUCAUCGAAUCUUUGAACGCACAUUGCGCCCUUUGGUAUUCCGAAGGGCAUGCCUGUUCGAGCGUCAUUAUCACCCCUCAAGCUCCGGCUUGGUGUUGGGCUGGGUUCGUCACCGAACCAGCCUCAAAGACAGUGACGGCGUCCCAGAUGGAACCGGUACGAGGAGCUUUUAACCGAGCAUGUACGCGGCGGGAAUCUGCGGGCGGCGGUCUUUACCCACUACUCUUCGGAGUACUUUCUAAGUGUUGACCUCGGAUCAGGUAGGGAUACCCGCUGAACUUAAGCAUAUCAAUAGCGGAGGAAAAGAAACCAACAGGGAUUGCCUCAGUAACGGCGAGUGAAGCGGCAACAGCUCAAAUUUGAAAUCUGGCUCCUUUCGGGCCCGAGUUGUAAUUUGUAGAGGAUGUUUCGGGUACCGCGGCGACUUAAAUUUCUUGGAACAGAAUGUCAGAGAGGGUGAGAGUCCCGUCUGGAGUCGCGGUAGGGCCCAUGUGAAGCUCCUUCGACGAGUCGAGUUGUUUGGGAAUGCAGCUCAAAAUGGGUGGUAAAUUUCAUCUAAAGCUAAAUAUUGGCCAGAGACCGAUAGCGCACAAGUAGAGUGAUCGAAAGAUGAAAAGCACUUUGAAAAGAGAGUUAAACAGUAUGUGAAAUUGUUGAAAGGGAAGCGCUGGCAACCAGACUUGCGUGCGGAGGUUCCCCCUCGCUUCUGCCUGGGCUACUCCUCCGUAUCCAGGCCAACAUCGGUUUUGGCGGUCGGUUAAAGACCUUGGGAAUGUACCUUCCCCCGGGAAGACUUAUAGCCCAGGGUGUCAUGCGGCCUGCCGGGACCGAGGAACGCGCUUUGUGCUCGGAUGUUGGCGUAAUGGUUGUCAGCGACCCGUCUUGAAACACGGACCAAUAUACAU